rnacentral:lncRNA from 1 species
AGAUUCAAAAAGGCUCUCCCUUUUUUUUCCGAUUUUUUUUUGAGAGGUAUUUAUGGGGUGAUUUGAGGGGGACGUGCAUACGAUUUGAGGGUGGCUGAGGAAAACGUGCGUAUGGGUGAGGAGGUUACGGGAUCGUGGGAUGGGGUCGUGGGAUACGGGUGGUUGUAACCGGUUUGAGGGAAACGUGCGAUGAGAAUCCGGGAUUGUGGGGUAUGGGUUGUUCGUAAUAAGAUUGUGGGGAAGAUUUUGUAUGGUCACGAUGGGAUUGUGAAAUAAUGGAUGGCUAUGGUGGAAUCAUGGAGAUAUUGGGUGGUUACGAUGGGAUUGUGGGAAUAUUACGGAUAGUCCGUUUCCUUUGCUCAUAUUACACCUUAGUCAAUACAAUAAAAUAUUAUAUGAUUAAAGCGGAGCAUUUUGUAAAUACAUGAAAGGGAAAGGGCUAAUAUGCUAUUUUUAAUACCCGUUCGUAUCUACGAGAACGUCCCACUUUUCGUAAUUUAUGCUCCCGGUGCAUGAGAUAUUUUCAAAAUUUAAAUUUUAUCCAUGCACCUGGUGCAUGGAUAAUCUCAUAAACCAUCUCUAUUUUUUUAUUUCUUUCUCUCUCCUUUUUUUUCUUUUUCUUUUUCUUCUUUUUUUUUUUCUUUUUUAUUCCUGUC